rnacentral:lncRNA from 1 species
UUCCUCCCUGACUGCUUGAGCUGAAAUUUGGGUCUUCUCCUGACUUCGGACCAGAACUGAAACAAUGGCUUUACUUGAGACUUGAGCCUGCCAGCCUUUGGACUGCAGCUUACACCAUCAGCUCUCCUGGGCCUCCAGCAAGUCAACCACAGAUCUUGAAACUUGUCAGCCUGGACUGCAACUUGCACUAUCAGCUCUCCUGGGCCAACAGCAAGCCAAACACAGAUCUUGAAACUUGUUAGCCUCGACUGCAACUUACACUAUCAGCUCUCCUGGGCCUCCAGCAUGCCAACCACGGAUCUUGAAACUUGUCAGCCUCCAUAACUGUGUGAGACUGCUUUGCCUCAUUACCAUGUGAGGGGACGAAGAAAAGAUGCCAUCUACGAACCAGGAAAUGGGUCCAUACCAGGCAUUGACCCUGCUGGUGCCUAGAUCUUGGACUUCCCAGCCUCCAGAAUUAUGAGAAACAAUUUCUGUUGUCCGUCACCAGCGGACUAAGACAUUGCCGUAACUAUAUAUUAAAUUACAUUGCCAAGGUUAUGAGAAAUCAGGUGACCUCUCAAAAGCAU